rnacentral:rRNA from 1 species
GAUGAACGCUAGCUACAGGCUUAACACAUGCAAGUCGAGGGGUAACGAGAGGAAAGCUUGCUUUCCUUGUCGACGACCGGCGCACGGGUGAGUCACGCGUAUCCAACCUGCCCCCAACUAGGGAAUAACCUUGGGAAAGUAAGACUAAUACCCUAUAAUUUCCUCCGAUGUCAUCUGCAUAGGACUAAAGAUUUACCGGUUGUAGAUGGGGAUUCAGAUGGUUAGCUGGUUGGCGGGGUAACGGAACACCAAGGCAACGAUCAGUAUGGGCUCUGAGAAGAAGGUCACCCACAUUGGAACUGAGACACGGUACAAACUCCUACGGGAGGCAGCAGUGAGGAAUAUUGGUCAAUGGGCGGAAGCCUGAACCAGACAAGUAGCGUGCAGGAUGACGGCCCUAUGGGUUGUAAACUGCUUUUAUACAGGAAUAAAGUUAGCCACGUGUGGUUAUUUGUAGGUACUGUAUGAAUAAGGACCGGCUAAUUCCGUGCCAGCCGCCGCGGUAA